rnacentral:rRNA from 1 species
ACGAACGCUGGCGGCGUGCCUAACACAUGCAAGUCGAACGAAGCUUGACGAAUGAUUUCUUCGGAAUGAAAUCUGAUAUGACUGAGUGGCGGACGGGUGAGUAACGCGUGAGCAACCUGCCCUUCGGAACGGGAUAGUGUCUGGAAACGGACAGUAAUACCGUAUAACGUAUUUUUACCGCAUGAUAGAAAUACCAAAACUGAGGUGCCGAAGGAUGGGCUCGCGUCUGAUUAGAUAGUUGGUGGGGUAACGGCCUACCAAGUCGACGAUCAGUAGCCGGACUGAGAGGUUGAACGGCCACAUUGGGACUGAGACACGGCCCAGACUCCUACGGGAGGCAGCAGUGGGGAAUAUUGCACAAUGGGGGAAACCCUGAUGCAGCAACGCCGCGUGAAGGAAGACGGUUUUCGGAUUGUAAACUUCUGUUCUUAGUGAAGAAUAAUGACGGUAGCUAAGGAGCAAGCCACGGCUAACUACGUGCCAGCAGCCGCGGUAAUACGUAGGUGGCAAGCGUUGUCCGGAAUUACUGGGUGUAAAGGGAGCGUAGGCGGGAUGCCAAGUCAGCUGUGAAAACUAUGGGCUUAACCCGUAGACUGCAGUUGAAACUGGUAUUCUUGAGUGAAGUAGAGGUUGGCGGAAUUCCGAGUGUAGCGGUGAAAUGCGUAGAUAUUCGGAGGAACACCGGUGGCGAAGGCGGCCAACUGGGCUUUAACUGACGCUGAGGCUCGAAAGUGUGGGGAGCAAACAGGAUUAGAUACCCUGGUAGUCCACACUGUAAACGAUGAUAACUAGGUGUGGGGGGUCUGACCCCUUCCGUGCCGCAGCUAACGCAAUAAGUUAUCCACCUGGGGAGUACGACCGCAAGGUUGAAACUCAAAGGAAUUGACGGGGACCCGCACAAGCAGUGGAUUAUGUGGUUUAAUUCGAAGCAACGCGAAGAACCUUACCUGGUCUUGACAUCCCUAUGAAUAACGGGCAAUGCCGUUAGUACUUCGGUACAUAGGAGACAGGUGGUGCAUGGUUGUCGUCAGCUCGUGUCGUGAGAUGUUGGGUUAAGUCCCGCAACGAGCGCAACCCCUAUCCUCAGUAGCCAGCAUUUAAGGUGGGCACUCUGGGGAGACUGCCAGGGAUAACCUGGAGGAAGGCGGGGAUGACGUCAAAUCAUCAUGCCCCUUAUGUGCUGGGCUACACACGUAAUACAAUGGCCAUCAACAAAGAGAAGCAAUACCGCGAGGCGGAGCAAAACUUCAAAAAUGGUCUCAGUUCGGACUGCAGGCUGCAACCCGCCUGCACGAAGUUGGAAUUGCUAGUAAUCGUGGAUCAGCAUGCCACGGUGAAUACGUUCCCGGGUCUUGUACACACCGCCCGUCACACCAUGGGAGUCAGUAACGCCCGAAGUCAGUGACCCAACCGUAAGGAGGGAGCUGCCGAAGGCGGGACCGAUAACUGGGGUG